rnacentral:rRNA from 1 species
GGGUUGUGAGGUUAAGCGACUAAGCGUACACGGUGGAUGCCCUGGCAGUCAGAGGCGAUGAAGGACGUGCUAAUCUGCGAUAAGCGCCGGUAAGGUGAUAUGAACCGUUAUAACCGGCGAUUUCCGAAUGGGGAAACCCAGUGUGACUCGUCACACUAUCAUUAACUGAAUCCAUAGGUUAAUGAGGCGAACCGGGGGAACUGAAACAUCUAAGUACCCCGAGGAAAAGAAAUCAACCGAGAUUCCCCCAGUAGCGGCGAGCGAACGGGGAGGAGCCCAGAGUCUGAAUCAGCAUGUGUGUUAGUGGAAGCGUCUGGAAAGGCGCGCGAUACAGGGUGACAGCCCCGUACACAAAAGCGCAUGUGCUGUGAGCUCGAUGAGUAGGGCGGGACACGUGGUAUCCUGUCUGAAUAUGGGGGGACCAUCCUCCAAGGCUAAAUACUCCUGACUGACCGAUAGUGAACCAGUACCGUGAGGGAAAGGCGAAAAGAACCCCGGCGAGGGGAGUGAAAAAGAACCUGAAACCGUGUACGUACAAGCAGUGGGAGCCCCACCACUAAGCCAGUGGUGAACUCCACAUACGCAUCCUUUGCUGAGGAUAAGGUUAACGGAGCGAAAGCGACGUUCAACCUCAAAAGAAGCAGAGGGGGCUUAGUG